rnacentral:rRNA from 1 species
AGUGAACGCUGGCGGUAGGCCUAACACAUGCAAGUCGAACGGCAGCACAGUAAGAGCUUGCUCUUACGGGUGGCGAGUGGCGGACGGGUGAGGAAUACAUCGGAAUCUACUUUUUCGUGGGGGAUAACGUAGGGAAACUUACGCUAAUACCGCAUACGACCUACGGGUGAAAGCAGGGGAUCUUCGGACCUUGCGCGAUUGAAUGAGCCGAUGUCGGAUUAGCUAGUUGGCGGGGUAAAGGCCCACCAAGGCGACGAUCCGUAGCUGGUCUGAGAGGAUGAUCAGCCACACUGGAACUGAGACACGGUUCAGACUCCUACGGGAGGCAGCAGUGGGGAAUACUGGACAAUGGGCGCAAGCCUGAUCCAGCCAUACCGCGUGGGUGAAGAAGGCCUUCGGGUUGUAAAGCCCUUUUGUUGGGAAAGAAAAGCAGCAGGUUAAUACCCCGCUGUUCUGACGGUACCCAAAGAAUAAGCACCGGCUAACUUCGUG